rnacentral:lncRNA from 1 species
CCAAAACCUAGAGGCGGGAAAGAGCAGGGUGAGUUCCGGGAACUGCCAGCAGUCCAGUUGGACUAGAAGAACUGAGGCUCACACGAGCAUCAGUGGCCUGGCUCGGCAGCACAGACUUCAGAAGGACAGCGACCACAGAGACCUGGAGCCAUGGGGUUCCGCCCUCUGCCCCCCCAGGCACCGAGUCAUGCCAGUUCCCAGACAGAUGGAUUCCUUCCAAGAAUUCCACAGUCCUGCUCAGUCACAGCUGCUGGAGCCUCCCUGCCUUGGAUGGCUUUUUUUAGUUGGUAUCUAAUGCAAAUCCUUUUCUGUUCAGGUUUCAAAUACUUUGCUAUUGUCCUUUGAUCACGAUUUGUAUUGAUCUCCCUCAGUGUUUCUCAACCCCCAUGACACAAUGGAAGUACAUGGGGAGGGGUGCUUUAGGAAACAAAAACGCAUGGGCCCUCUCCUGGAAGUCUGAUUUCAUUGGUCUGCAGUGGAGCCCAGGCAUUGGCAUUCUUUCAUUGGGCAGCCAGGGAUGAGAACCACCGAUGCAGAUGGUCACCACUGAGAGUGUCCGGUUAGGCCCACACUCAGGGUGGGGCCUCCUGGCCUCAGACUUCCCACUCAAACAAACCCUGAAAGCGGCCUUGGCAGAUCUCCAGGAGCAGUUGGACUCCCUGAGGCUGGACUUGAAAUGGGUUUCCCAAGCAUCCACUCUGCAGCUGAGGCCAAAGUUUCCAACAGGAAGGGUGGGUGAGGCUUCUGUUUGUUUCCCAAGAGCCAACUGGCCUUUCAAGCCAGUGAUAACCACCAGGAACCUCACUGGCAGGAGAGCCAGACGUCAGUAGCAACUGCAGCCAUUUCCCACUGGCUCCACAUACGGGAAGGGGGCCUAGGUGGAGGUGGCACCCUCUCCUCUGACACUGGCUAUGAGAGGAGGACCCAGCUAAGGACAGAUUGGGGACCUGGACAAUAGGUCUUCUGCUUUCUUUCCAGCAAAAUGGAGGUGAUGAUUCCUGCCCCGAAGAUUCUUGUGAGGCCUUGAGAUAAAUCACCCCAGCAUGGGGAUAGCUUUCAGUAAGCAUUCUCUUCCUCCUGUUUUGCUAGUAAGUCCUUUCACAAAUGUAGGGAAACUCUCCAAGUCUGGGCCUCACAACUCUCUCGGCAUUUGUCCACCCCACCUCCCCAGUCUACAGGCCUUGGGGAGGCUCCUGAAGCCAUAUCACAGGCCCCUUGGAAGAAAAGUCAGGGUGAGGAACUUGGCAGGGGCCUCCCUGCUGCAAGGGAAAUGACGUUGAUUAACAAGGAAGUGACCAGCUGUCCUCUCCCCGGACUGAGCAGCAGAAAUAUGGCCUUGAGCCUGGGGAGGAUCUAGACCUGCAGGAAGAAUUCCCCGACAAAUGACCAUGUUGCCUAAAUGACUCAUGAGAGUCUGUGAAAGUCAGAGAUUCAUCCCGAGCCCCUCACCCUGUCACCACCAGGCAGUGUUGUUCCCAUUUGACAGCUGAGAAAACUGAGGCUGAGACAUUCAGUAACUCAGUGAAGCAGCCACCACCAGCGCGUGGCAGAGCUGGGACUGGAUGCUGAAAGACCAGCAGUUAUACUUUUAAGGCAAGCCCUCUCUGCCUUUUCCCUCUAAGAUCCUGGGACUUUGCGUUUUUCAUCUCAAGCCUUGCAAUCAGAGCCGUAGAAAAGCCACACGUAAUCCUAGCGUUCGGGCAUUAAACCCAAGGGGAAAGUGUGUCAUCAAAAUGCUUGUACAUUUUCCCUGGGAAUCCCCAUCACGGAAGAGGAAACUCUAUGAAGAGCAACCAGUUUUACUGGAAGGUCUCUCCCGGCCAAAAUGAGAGCAAGCAAGAGAUGUCGGAGGUCUUGGGAAAUGCAGAAGAGAUUAGGAAACUGAGGCUGGACAGAGGUACCGCUGGGAUUCAACUGUUGCUGGAUCGGACUCCAUAAGUUCCUUCCUCAGUCCCGGAGGGAGGCCUGACCACCUACUGCGGACAGGACUGGUGACCUGGCCCGCCUCUCAGGCCAGACUCUCCUCGCUGCAGGGAGGCCCCGGGCGCGGCGGGGCAGAGGAGCAGGAAGAACGGUCUGGGCGCACACGCCGAGGCCAAGGGCGGGCCCCCGCGCCCAGGAGGAGCCCAUUUCCCUCCCUCCCUCCCCUGGGACCCCGGCGCUGGGGGAGGGGAGCGGCCGCAGCCCUCCCCAUCCGCCCCGGCCGCCAGGUGCCCAGAAACGCGGCCUCCCCCUCCCGCCCCCGCGCCUGUUCCCGGCGCAGCCCGCGGCUCGGCGGUCACGUCUCCCCAUCCGGCUCCAAAGUACGAGUCAGCGGCGGCCGGGCCAGCCCCGCGGAAGGGCGGCGCCGGGGAGGGGAGGUGGCCCGAGGGGCCGGGCCGCGCGCUCCGCCCCCUCCUCCCUCCGCGCGGCGCGGGUAGGUCUGCGAGGGGCUGGGCCCCCCCGCCGCGCCCGGGUCGGCCCUGGCCCACGGGGCGCGGCGCGGGCGAGGCCGCAGCGUCGGGGCCACCGCCCCUGCCGGCGCUCCGCGGGCGCGGGGCGGGCCGAGGGGAGGCUGGCUGGGGAAGCCGCGAGGCCGCGCCUCCCGAGAGGCGCGCGGGCCGGUGUUGCUGGGGAGAAAAGCGCCGCCGCGGCCCCGCCUGGAGGCCCUCUGCUCCAGGGCGCAGCGCACUCUGCUGGGGCGACCUCGGAACUGCAGGGAGACCCCACCCGCACCUACAGCGACGACCCGACGCCCCGACGCCCCGACGCCCCGACGCCGGAGGCCGAGAGCUCGACGCCGGAGGCCGAGAGCUCGGGUCUGGGCCGUAGAAAUUCCUGGUUAAUUAAAGAUCAUUAUUCCCCCCUUUGUUUUAAUUAAUUCAAAAAUGAGUCCUGAGCAUAGCAGGGAAAUUUGGGAAUGUGGAGAACCAAAAAAAAAAACCACUCAUAAUGCCUGUAUCCAGAAAGCAACGCUUAGAAUUUUAGUGCCUGCCCUUUCAGCGCUUCGUAUCUGCAAAUCUAUCUGUGUAUGCAUUCUUUGUAGAAUAAAAAAUACGAUAGUGUCGGCCCUG